AACGAACGCUGGCGGCAGGCCUAACACAUGCAAGUCGAGCGGGGUUUUCGGACCUAGCGGCGGACGGGUGAGUAAUGCGUAGGAAGCUACCCGAUAGAGGGGGAUACCAGUUGGAAACGACUGUUAAUACCGCAUAAUGUCUACGGACCAAAGUGUGGGACCUUCGGGCCACAUGCUAUCGGAUGCGCCUACGUGGGAUUAGCUAGUUGGUGAGGUAAUGGCUCACCAAGGCGACGAUCCCUAGCUGGUUUGAGAGGAUGAUCAGCCACACUGGAACUGAGACGCGGUCCAGACUCCUACGGGAGGCAGCAGUGGGGAAUAUUGGACAAUGGGCGCAAGCCUGAUCCAGCCAUGCCGCGUGUGUGAAGAAGGCCUUCGGGUUGUAAAGCACUUUCAGUAGGGAGGAAGCGUUGUGUGUUAAUAGUACACAGCGUUGACGUUACCUACAGAAGAAGCACCGGCUAACUCUGUGCCAGCAGCAGCCGCCGUAA
rnacentral:rRNA from 1 species